UGAGCUGGGUUGUGAACUAGAUUUUAUAGUCUGAGGUAAAAAAAAGCCUGUUUUAAUCAUAGGCACUACUUUAUGUUCAGUAUGUAAAAUAAAGACUUACUCCACAAAUGUGCUACCACAAUGAAUCUGGUGUUAGGGAUAUUUGCCUGAAAGCAAAAGAAAAGCAGGACAUGUGUGGUUAAACUUACACAACUCUGUAAAACU
rnacentral:lncRNA from 1 species